CGAUGAAAAAAAAAAACUCUCUCCCCCUUAAACGCAAACACAGUAACGCAAACUCAUCAAACUCCCUCUCUUCUUCUUCACACAGUCCCAUCUCCAUCUUCAAACGCACAAUUUCCUCCAUGCCUCUCUCUACAUACACGUUCCCCUGCCUCCAAUCUUUGUCCCUUCUCUACCUUCAAACCCCUAAACUAUAGUCCGCAGGCGCCAGCCACCCACUCCUUUAGUGGCAGAAAGUUUUUGAUUUUGAGACUUUACCAUCUGACCAGAUUCUCUCCGCAAACAUUACCGAUUCGAAUUUAGGAUUGAGGUCAAUCUCGAUGCCAUGACACAUCUAAGAAUUUGGAAGCCCAUUUUGAAGAAUGCUAGCACUCUAGCAGAGAAGUUCUCCAUGGAAGUCACACAAGAUCUAUGUUUAUUUGUACUCCCUCAAAUAGCAGCAUAAUUAGGGAGGAGUACAUAAAUUUGAUUUUGGAAGAUGUUGGAAAAGUCAAUAUCGAGAGGGAGAGCAAAAAACUUUAGGGUAGAUUCUUCUUAAGAGAUGCAACACAACAGUCACCUCUCUCUCUCUCUCUCUCUCUCUCUCUCAAUAGUGGAAAUAAUGAUUUCAGAAAUUGUGUAAAUUGGCAUUAUGUUGCCUUUUUAAUCCCAUUGAGGUCUAGCAUCUUUGUUUACUAACAAUGUUAGAAUUUAGAUACAUCUUGGACAUCAAGAACGAUUAAUGUAAUUUAUGAAAGAUAUUUGAUUGAAUGAGUAUGGAAUUAACUAUAUUCGUGUAAUUAAUUGUA